rnacentral:rRNA from 1 species
UGGGGAAUAUUGGACAAUGGGCGCAAGCCUGAUCCAGCCAUGCCGCGUGUGUGAAGAAGGCCUUCGGGUUGUAAAGCACUUUUGUCCGGAAAGAAAGCGAAUCGGCGAAUACCCGGUUUGGAUGACGGUACCGGAAGAAUAAGCACCGGCUAACUUCGUGCCAGCAGCCGCGGUAAUACGAAGGGUGCGAGCGUUAAUCGGAAUUACUGGGCGUAAAGCGUGCGCAGGCGGCUUUGUAAGACAGAUGUGAAAUCCCCGGGCUCAACCUGGGAACUGCAUUUGUGACUGCAAGGCUAGAGUGCGUCAGAGGGAGGUGGAAUUCCGCGAGUAGCAGUGAAAUGCGUAGAGAUGCGGAGGAACACCGAUGGCGAAGGCAGCCUCCUGGGAUGACACUGACGCUCAUGCACGAAAGCGUGGGGAGCAAACA